rnacentral:lncRNA from 1 species
AUGAUAGUGUCGAACCAAGUGGAACAAAGAAAGAAGAUCUGGAUGACAGAGAGAAAAAAGAUGAAACUCCUGCACCUGUAUAUGGGGCCAAGUCAAUUCUGGAGAGCUGGGUAUGGAGUAAGCAACCAGGUAAUCUUUGAUCAGAGAUAGAAAUUAGUGUAGACAUUUUGCCUCCAGAUCCUCAAGUGGUUUUAGAAAUUGGUUCUCUAAUUCUGUAGGAGAAGGUUGGUACUGGUAUAGUCUUACACGUCAUUGAAACUGGAAAAGAUAGCUAGAUAUUCUUCUACUCAUGUUUUGGAUAAUGAGAUAAAUUAUUUUAUGCUUCACACACUUGGAGUAUGUCAUCUACUGUAAUAUAGUAUCUGAAUGAAUACUUUAAAUAAAAUACAUUUCUGUAAAUUAAUUGUAUACUUUAAAAAUCUCUGAAUAAAUUUGAGUAGCAAGUAUCAGAAACUUGAUCCUAAAUAUUAAAAAUACAUCCUUCCUUUGGAGGAAGCGUGUAGUUAAUGUGUUAGUGUGAUUGUAAGCAUGCUGUCUUUCUGGAGGUCGCUUUGUUCCUGCAUCCACUGUUUUCAUUUCAGGGAUGUUCACGGAACGCCAGGCACCAAAGGGCCGGAAGCAUCCCCCUACAGGACCAGCACUUGGCCCUGGCCAUCCUGCUGGAGCUGGCUGUGCAGAGAGGCACGCUGAGCCAAAUGUUGUCUGCCAUCCUGUUGUUGCUUCAGCUGUGGGACAGUGGGGCACAGGAGACUGACAAUGAGCGUUCUGCCUAAGGCACCAGCGCCUCGCUUUUGCCCUUGCUGCAAAGGUUCCAGGGCAUCAUUUGCCGUAAGGAUACACCCCACUCUGAGGACAACAUGCACGUGAGUGUCAUGAUGGAACUUUGUGUUUAGGUGGCACUCGAGUCUAGUUAUUUUUUACGCAAGACCAGCGUGCUUGUGCACGGCAGUGUUUUUCUCUGGUGUGUGUGUGUUUGGUGGUAACAGCAGCAAGUCAGAUGAGACAGGUGUGGGAGGCCACUUGUUUGUGGAGAAGACUCAGAUCAGUGCGCGCCGACUUCCUUGUCAGCACAGAACCAAGCUUGAAACAUGCACUUUUAAAUCAAUACCAGAAAAGAACAACGAAAAUAGUGGCUUGCUUUGUUGGCCCUUCCUUUGUACUGAGCUCUGUGCAGGGCAUGUCACCUGAGCUGUCACUGUGUUUAGUACCAGCCCCCCCCUUAAUAGGUGUGGACGUCUUCCUGAACAGCCUGAAGCAGACGGUGGUGACCCUGGCAAGCAGCACAGACGUGCUGAGCACCGUGCAGUCGGCCUCCCAGGCCAUGCUGCAGAGCGGCUGGUCCAUGCUGUUGCCCACCGCCGAGAAGCAGGCCCGGGCACUCUCUGCUCUCCUGCCCUGCGGAGUUUCAGGCAAUGAAGUGAACAUAAGUCGAGGUCGUCGAUUCGUGAUUGAUCUUCUGGUGGGCAGCUUGAUGGCUGCUGGAGGGUUGGAGUCAGCCUUACACGCAGCCAUUACUGCAGAGAUCCAGGAUAUUGAAGCCAAAAAAGAAGCACAGAAGGAAAAGAAAUUGAUGAACAGGAAGCGAAUGCCUCAACAUUUCAUAGAAGGAGGACUCCAUUGGAUAAAGACCUUAUUAAUACGGGGAUCUGUGAGUCUUCUGGCAAACAGUGUUUGCCUCUGGUUCAGCUCAUACAACAGCUUCUUAGGUAAAUCAUAUUAG